rnacentral:rRNA from 1 species
CCUACGGGCGGCAGCAGUGGGGAAUAUUGCACAAUGGGGGGAACCCUGAUGCAGCGACGCCGCGUGGGUGAAGGAGCGUUUCGGCGCGUAAAGCCCUAUCGGCAGGGAAGAAGGAGGACGGUACCUGACUAAGAAGCCCCGGCUAACUACGUGCCAGCAGCCGCGGUAAUACGUAGGGGGCAAGCGUUAUCCGGAUUUACUGGGUGUAAAGGGCGUGCAGCCGGGAAGACAAGUCAGAUGUGAAAUCCCGCGGCUCAACCGCGGAACUGCAUUUGAAACUGUUUUUCUUGAGUAUCGGAGAGGUAAUCGGAAUUCCUAGUGGAGCGGUGAAAUGCGUAGAUAUUAGGAAGAACACCAGUGGCGAAGGCGGAUUACUGGACGACAACUGACGGUGAGGCGCGAAAGCGUGGGGAGCAAACAGGAUUAGAUACCCUUGUAGUC